GCCUACGGGGGGCAGCAGUAGGAAAUCUUCCACAAUGGGCGAAAGCCUGAUGGAGCAACGCCGCGUGGGUGAAGAAGGUCUUCGGAUCGUAAAACCCUGUUGUUAGAGAAGAAAGUGCGUGAGAGUAACUGUUCACGUUUCGACGGUAUCUAACCAGAAAGCCACGGCUAACUACGUGCCAGCAGCCGCGGUAAUACGUAGGUGGCAAGCGUUAUCCGGAUUUAUUGGGCGUAAAGGGAACGCAGGCGGUCUUUUAAGUCUGAUGUGAAAGCCUUCGGCUUAACCGGAGUAGUUCAUUGGAAACU
rnacentral:rRNA from 1 species